rnacentral:rRNA from 1 species
UACGUAGGGCGCAAGCGUUGUCCGGAAUUAUUGGGCGUAAAGAGCUCGUAGGCGGCCUGUUGCGUCCGCUGUGAAAUCCCGGGGCUCAACCCCGGGCCUGCAGUGGAUACGGGCUGGCUAGAGGCAGGCAGGGGAGAACGGAAUUCCUGGUGUAGCGGUGAAAUGCGCAGAUAUCAGGAGGAACACCAAUAGCGAAGGCAGCUCGCUGGGACGGUACUGACGCUAAGGCGCGAAAGCGUGGGGAGCGAACAGG